GUUGUCUGUGAUGUUUCACUAGUUUGAGGUUCUUGGCCCAUGAAAAAAUCUUACAUGCACUACCAUCUGAGGCAUC
ensembl:snoRNA SNORD33 Small nucleolar RNA Z195/SNORD33/SNORD32 family